rnacentral:lncRNA from 1 species
GUCUGGCACUCCCUAGUGAGAUGAAGCCGGUACCUCAGAUGGAAAUGCGGAAAUCACCGUCUUCUGUGUCGCUCAGGCUGGGAGCUGUAGACCGGAGCUGUUCCUAUUCGGCCAUCUUGGCUCCUCUCCCUCUUUAAAGUGAAUGUGAUUUUGAAGAAAGGAGGAAAGAUGUGAAAAGUGAUUGGUCAGCCACAUUCAUGGUGUUGAGAAAAGAAUUUGCUUUUCUGGAACAUAGCCUGUGAUAGCAGAACAACACCUGGCAAGAAACAGGUUAUGUUUGGCUGGAGAGUCAUUGGCACUAUCAAGAAAUAUUAAAGUGUAGAUUUGAGAGAGGAGGAGAAAGACCCAAGCAAAAUUGAAAACCAGGUGGGACCCAGACAGCAGCAAAGCAAUGGAAGCAUGUAUUUUGGUCAAUAUAGAGUUAAUACACAAUUUUGCCCCUCUUCUUCUGAUCAUGGGACUCAUAUUACCAGUCUUCACAUUUCCUUUAAAUUCAGGAAUCAGGAAGAAUUUCCAGAGUUUGCAGAUGGACACAUUUGCUGCUUCCAUUCUAAACAUAAGUUAGAAGAACCUUUCAACUGGAUUCCAACUUUAAUAUGUCACAAACAUAAAAAAGAAAGCUAUUUCCUGGACUUUUCUUCAUUAGAAAUUAAUAGAUUGUCAAUUGGCAUAGGGAAAAGAUAAUCAACAGAUGCCAACCCCAAGUUAACAGAAAUGCUAAAAUUAUAAGA